rnacentral:lncRNA from 1 species
AUGUCUGCUGAACAAAGGAAUCACUUUCAACAGCUUCCAUUUCUUUUACUUUUUUCACUUGUUCUACCAGGGUGGCUUGGUCAGCAGCUUCAAGAACCAGCUGUAGUCUGGCUUUGGCCUGUUCAGCUGGUGGCAGAUGUUUUAAUCCAGCUUUGAUGUUUCCAGAUUCCCAAUGUUUAAUGUUAUGUAAUCCUUGUCCUUCCCUUAUCUUUCCCCUUUUCUCUUUAUCUCUGCCUUUACGUCGUUCUUUAUCCCGAGAACAGCUAUGCAUUCUUCUGUGGCUGGACCUUUCACUGCUCUGACUGUGAGAACAUGGACAAGGCCUUCUUAUUCUGCUUUUUGACCUAGACCUCUUAACUCCGUAGGAUUUCCCUCGACCCCUUGAACGACUUCAAGUUAGUUUCCUUCUAGAGCCAUGAGAUCCACUGCUUGAUUGAUGCCUGAGUCUUCUAUCAUAAGAAUGUGAACGAGGCUGAAGAUCUCUGGACCAAGAUUUUGACUUUGAUCUUGAUUUCCUUCUUUCUUUCUUUCAGCUGUAUAUUCUACUAUCUGAAGAACUCCUCAUUGAGGACCGUCUACAGUUCUUUUUUUUUUUCUCUCUCUCUCUCGGUUCUGCUUUCUUCUACAGUAUUUGAUGACUAGCGUCCCAUUUCUAUAAGCUAGGUCCAGACCUUUGAGCUCACACCUUCCUUUGAUACGCAAGCGCCGCAGAUCCUGAGAGGUUUCUUCGGAUCAGGGUGCCGCUGGCAUCCACUGAACUUGCUUCAGUUUAAGCUCAGCGCCUUCCUGAGAAUCAUUUCAUUUUAUCUUUCAUUUUGUAGUGAGAAGAGGCUUCAGCAUGAAUAGGGACAUGCAAGGUGUAUAAAAUAGAAUGGAGUUGUGAAUUAGGUAAUAUGAGGGAGAAAAUUAUAAAAAAUAUAAAGCAUUUUAAAGACAAAUGUGUGUUACACAAAACUAGGUACCUGCUGGUCUCAGAAGCUUUAAGUGGUUUAUAAUCGAGUCAACAAUAAGUGGCAGAUCAAUUGAAAAUAUGUUUGCAUGAAGUUCUUAGUUCAGAGGUAAAGCUAGGAUGCUACGCACAGCAACAUUGGAAGGGAAAGAGCUUUUGAAAUCCAAGUCUGGGCAUUUGCUCUAAUCAGAGGUCAACAUCAUCUCUGCCCUGCUAACCCACUCCCCUGCCAGGUGUCCUAUCUCCCAGACCACACGUUAGCAGAUAUAAUAUCUAUCAUUCUGGCUUCUCAUCAUUCUCUUUCCGGAAAAAUCCUGACGUGAUUUUAUCUGCAAGAUGGAGAGAAAAGGAGAGAGCAUCACAUGUCUUAUAUUAAUCACAAAAACUAGAUGGGUUUUAUUUCAGGUGCUAAUUCUUUUGAGAACACAAGGGAACCUUUGAUCUUAAUCUAUUUGAUGUGGUUUUAAGUAAAGGAGCAUCUUAUGUUUACUUUGAAGGUGUUUUUUACUUCGGGCUUGAUCAAACAUUACAUUUGGUUCCAGAGAAAAACUCAUUGGGAACGCAGCAUGUAGUAUAGAAUUAGACAUCCCUAGGCUUGAAGCCCAUCUCAGCCAUGAACUACCUUCAUGACCUUCAGCUAGUUACUUUUCCUCACUCAGCUUCAGUUUCUUCAUUUAUAAAGCAAGUGCCUCAACAUCCCUUUUUGAUUUUCUUAAUCUUGUCUACAUGUCUACAAGUAGCCCUUUUAUUACUGAUUUUUAACUAGUGCUGGCCAUUGAAAUGACCUGAGAAGCCCAUGUCUCACUCUCAGACGAGGGGAAUUUUGGUUCUAAUGGCAGUCAUGGUUGAGAGUCCACUGUGUUAAAGUCUCUUCAUUUGAAGCAUCUGAUGUGAAUUCUAUUUUCUGCUUAAACCCAGACAUAGAUGUUAAGUUUUAAAAUUACAUCUUACAUUCAUUCCCACCACAUAUUCAUUGAGUGCUUACCAUGUACAGACUCUGUGAUAGACUAUGGAAAUACAUUCAAAGAAAUUCCCUGUUUUUAAGAACUUUAUCUAGUGUUUAGAAAAUGCAUUUAAAACUUAUAAUUAAAAUACUAUAGACCUUGGCUUAAAG